rnacentral:rRNA from 1 species
GACCGCGACCCCAGGUCAGGCGGGAUUACCCGCUGAG